GGAAAUAAUUCGUAAAUAUAACUCAACAUGCAGACAUCUUAUACGUUCAGGUAUUUCACAUCCAAAAUUUUAUGGAAAUAUUCUUUAUAAAGCACAAAAAUGUCAGUAUUCUCCUCAGAAACUAACAAAACCUUUAAAUAGACUUAUUAAAAGGGGAUAUAGUUACGAUACUGUGGUCAGGUCAUUAAAGAUUGCAUAUUUUGGCUUUAACAUUGAUUCACUGAUAGGGUCUUUGCAUCGGAACUAAACACAUUUAUUUCUAAAAAAAACAGUUGUUGGCAUGACACGGGUUAUGUUCUUCUCAUAUAUUUUAUGAUAGUAUGAUACUAAACCCCUAACGGGAGGGAUUGUACCUGAUAUUCAUAUGACGAAGACAUAAUCUUUCAAUCAGUUUAAUUGAGGUCUGGAGCUGACAUGUCAGUUAACUGCUAGUAGUCUGUUGUUAUUUAUGUAUUAUUGUCAUUUUAUUUAUUUUCUUUUGUU
rnacentral:lncRNA from 1 species